AACGAACGCUGGCGGCAUGCCUAACACAUGCAAGUCGAACGAAGGCUUCGGCCUUAGUGGCGCACGGGUGCGUAACGCGUGGGAAUCUACCCAGUUCUACGGAACAACUGAGGGAAACUUCAGCUAAUACCGUAUACGCCCUAAGGGGGAAAGAUUUAUCGGAAUUGGAUGAGCCCGCGUUGGAUUAGCUAGUUGGUGGGGUAAUGGCCUACCAAGGCGACGAUCCAUUGCUGGUCUGAGAGGAUGAUCAGCCACACUGGGACUGAGACACGGCCCAGACUCCUACGGGAGGCAGCAGUGGGGAAUAUUGGACAAAGGGCGCAAGCCUGAUCCAGCCAUGCCGCGUGAGUGAUGAAGGCCUUAGGGUUGUAAAGCUCUUUCAGUGGGGACGAUAAUGACGGUACCCACAGAAGAAGCCCCGGCUAACUUCGUGCCAGCCGCCGCAGUAAAAC
rnacentral:rRNA from 1 species